rnacentral:ncRNA from 10 species
AUAGAGUAUCAAGAGUAGAGUGAAACUCUCGCCAACCUGCCUACCCGGGCAAGGUGGUAAAAAGAUGCGGCUAACCGGCAACCAAACGGGGACCC